GAUGAACGCUGGCGGCGUGCCUAAUACAUGCAAGUCGAGCGAACAGACGAGGAGCUUGCUCCUCUGACGUUAGCGGCGGACGGGUGAGUAACACGUGGAUAACCUACCUAUAAGACUGGGAUAACUUCGGGAAACCGGAGCUAAUACCGGAUAAUAUAUUGAACCGCAUGGUUCAAUAGUGAAAGACGGUUUUGCCGUCACUUAUAGAUGGAUCCGCGCCGCAUUAGCUAGUUGGUAAGGUAACGGCUUACCAAGGCAACGAUGCGUAGCCGACCUGAGAGGGUGGUCGGCCACACUGGAACUGAGACACGGUCCAGACUCCUACGGGAGGCAGCAGUAGGGAAUCUUCCGCAAUGGGCGAAAGCCUGACGGAGCAACGCCGCGUGAGUGAUGAAGGUCUUCGGAUCGUAAAACUCUGUUAUUAGGGAAGAACAAAUGUGUAAGUAACUAUGCACGUCUUGACGGUACCUAAUCAGAAAGCCACGGCUAACUACGUG
rnacentral:rRNA from 1 species